rnacentral:rRNA from 1 species
AACGAACGCUGGCGGCAGGCCUAACACAUGCAAGUCGAGCGCGCCUUCGGGUGAGCGGCGGACGGGUGAGUGACGCGUGGGAAUAUGCCCUUCUCUACGGAAUAGUCCUGGGAAACUGGGGGUAAUACCGUAUACGCCCUUUGGGGGAAAGAUUUAUCGGGGAAGGAUUAGCCCGCGUUGGAUUAGGUAGUUGGUGGGGUAAUGGCCUACCAAGCCGACGAUCCAUAGCUGGUUUGAGAGGAUGAUCAGCCACACUGGGACUGAGACACGGCCCAGACUCCUACGGGAGGCAGCAGUGGGGAAUCUUAGACAAUGGGGGCAACCCUGAUCUAGCCAUGCCGCGUGAGUGAUGAAGGCCUUAGGGUUGUAAAGCUCUUUCAGCUGGGAAGAUAAUGACGGUACCAGCAGAAGAAGCCCCGGCUAACUCCGUG